rnacentral:miRNA from 10 species
ACUUUCUCCAGCUACCAAGAUGAGGGAGUGGGUGGGAGGUGGGAAGACUGCCCAAAUGAUCUCUAGUAUCCCUUGCAGUAUCCAUCUUCCUC